rnacentral:tRNA from 1 species
AAUUAGUGAACUUGAAUAAGUGUAUAUUUUGAAAAUAUAAAAUAAGUUAAUUAACUUACUAAUUU